GUCAUCGACGAGUGCGGGCGUUUUGUUGGUUGAUCACGUGCUCACGCUGCUGUGAGAGAUUGAGAGAGAGCGAGCGGUGGCAAGUAGAGAAUGAUGAGUGACGAAUGGACUGAGAGCGGGCAAGAUGACCAGUCAGCUUUGGUGCCGAAAGAUGCAACACAGCACCAAGAAUCAGCACGAGCUUCCUUUGCUUCCUCUGUGUUUAACAUAAUGCAUGCUAUCAUGGGAAGUGGUAUUCUGGGUUUGGCAUAUGCAAUGUCAAGUACAGGUAUUAUUGGCUUCAGUCUCUUAUUGCUGUUUGUUGCUGUUACGGCUGCAUAUUCAGUUCAUUUGCUGCUCGUGUUGUGCGAACAAACUGCACUGACUACUUAUGAAGACCUUGGGUUUUGUGCCUUUAAGAUAACUGGAAAGGUUAUGGUUGCUGGUGCAAUACUGAUCCAAAACAUUGGAGCUAUGUCAUCUUAUCUGUUUGUCAUAAAGUCUGAACUACCUGCUGCAAUUGCUGGUUUCCUACACAACAGCUAUAAUGGGACUCCCUGGUACCUUAAUGGACAGAUUCUCCUGCUCAUUACUGUUAUCUUUGUUGUUCUACCUCUUGCUCUUCUUCCUAAAAUAGAAUUUCUUGGUUAUACAAGUGGUUUGUCCAUCUUAUUCAUGGUCUACUUUACCAUUGUGGUUGUGGUUAAAAAAUGGUUCGUUCCUUGCCCGCUGUCUAAUGGCACUGUCAAUUACUUUCAGAACUUUAGUUCUGAAUGUAAACCAAAGCUUCUACAAAUUUCAUCCAAGAGUGCAUACGCAAUUCCAACAAUGGCAUUUUCAUUUCUCUGCCAUACAUCAGUGUUGCCAAUUUACUGUGAACUCAAAAGGCCUUCAAAGAGCAGGAUGCAAAAAGCGGUUAACAUAGGAAUGACUCUGAGUUUUUUGAUCUACAUGCUUUCUGCCUUGUUCGGCUACCUGACGUUUUAUGCCAAUGUGAACUCACAGUUGCUGCACAGUUACAGCCAGUAUCUGCCACGGGACCCCGUCAUUAUGUCAGUUAGAAUAUGUAUACUCUUCUCUGUGCUUCUGACAGUGCCUCUAAUCCACUUUCCAGCAAGGAAAUCUUUUAUGCUGCUAUUUUGUUCAAGCUGCCCCUUCUCAUGGUUGUGUCAUAUACUUGUCACACUUGUUAUUCAGACAGUGAUUGUGUUAUUGGCAAUCUAUGUGCCAAAUAUUCAAAAUAUCUUUGGUGUAGUUGGUUCUACAACUUCAACUGCUUUACUAUUUAUCUACCCUGGACUCUUUUACUUGCAAAUAAGCAGAGAAUCUUUAAAAUCUUCAAGGAAGCUUAAGAUUUUGUGAAUGAGAACGAAAAUAAAACACCAAAGGCUACUGAGUAAAAUGAAAGACAUUUCCAUUGCCCAGUGAUUGCUGCUGAUAGAGAAUUUCUCAGUUUGGUUUAUGUCCAAGGCACAAAAACUACAACAAUAGGAAAGGAGCUGCACUAGGACCACGUGGGGGCACGGGUCCGGCCCGUCCUGCACAUUGUGAUCCAGUUGGCCCGCUCCGCGCUUACCAGGCCCAACUCCAACUCCAACCCCAGGAACUUCAGGAGCCACCCCUCCAGGAACCUGACGAGGUCCUCGCCUUCCUCCCUUUCUGGGAGACCCACGAUAUGGAAUGUGAUCAGAUCCUUGGGAAAAACCCUGGUGAGGCAGCAGUGCUCAUGACCAACGGAAUACCAGCUCUUAUGAAAAAUGAAUGUUUCUCCAGAAAGUCGCCAUUUCCACUGUGUAAUUGGAGGAACGUUGCAGUUUGCCUGCAGCUGUUUUGCUAGCCCUCAGGCUGUGCGUGAAACCUUACUCCAGUUAGACAGAGGCCCAGACAAAGAGGCACCACAACAGUUCCCACAGACUGCAACUUGAAGACUGACCUCACUGACACUGAAUGAAGGCUAUUCCAGUCUAACAAAUAUCAGGAUUUAUUUCAAUUUAGGACAUUUGAUGCAAAUUAAUGCUGCUGUAAUAUAGUGGAAAACCACAAGCAUAGAGUUUGAAAGCAGAAUACUUGGCCUUUUACUUUGGCUUAACACCUAUUAAAAUGCAACAUUA